CGGCUCAGUAACACGUGGAUAACCUACCCUUGAGAUGGGAAUAAACCCGGGAAACUGGGUAUAAUACCCGAUAGAUCUCGACUGCUGGAAUGCAUCGAGAUCCAAAGCUCCGGCGCUCAAGGAUGGAUCUGCGGCCUAUCAGGUAGUAGUGGGUGUAGCGUACCUACUAGCCUACGACGGGUACGGGUUGUGAGAGCAAGAGCCCGGAGAUGGAUUCUGAGACACGAAUCCAGGCCCUACGGGGUGCAGCAGGCGCGAAAACCUUACAAUGCUGGAAACAGCGAUAAGGGGACCUCGAGUGCCAGGUUACAAAUCUGGCUGUCGUGAUGCCUAAAAAGCAUUGCAUAGCAAGGGCCGGGCAAGACCGGUGCCAGCCGCCGCGGUAACACCGGCGGCUCGAGUGGUAACCGUUAUUAUUGGGUCUAAAGGGUCUGUAGCCGGCCGGGUAAGUCUCUUGGGAAAUCUGGCAGCUUAACUGUCAGGCUUUCAGGAGAUACUGUCUGGCUCGAGGCCGGGAGAGGUGAGAGGUACUUCAGGGGUAGGGGUGAAAUCUUGUAAUCCUUGAAGGACCACCAGUGGCGAAGGCGUCUCACCAGAACGGACCUGACGGCAAGGGACGAAAGCUAGGGGCACGAACCGGAUUAGAUACCCGGGUAGUCCUAGCCGUAAACGAUACUCGCUAGGUGUC
rnacentral:rRNA from 1 species